rnacentral:rRNA from 1 species
UGGGGAAUAUUGGGCAAUGGGGGAAACCCUGACCCAGCAACGCCGCGUGAAGGAAGAAGGCCUUCGGGUUGUAAACUUCUUUUACCAGGACGAAGGACGUGACGGUACCUGGAGAAAAAGCAACGGCUAACUACGUGCC